AGGAUGGUCUUGCGGCGUAUUAGCUUGUUGGUAGGGUAGAAGCCUACCAAGGCAAUGAUGCGUAGCCGAGUUGAGAGACUGGCCGGCCACAUUGGGACUGAGACACUGCCCAAACUCCUACGGGAGGCUGCAGUAGGGAAUUUUCCGCAAUGCACGAAAGUGUGACGGAGCGACGCCGCGUGUGUGAUGAAGGCUUUCGGGUCGUAAAGCACUGUUGUAAGGGAAGAAUAACUGAAUUCAGAGAAAGUUUUCAGCUUGACGGUACCUUACCAGAAAGGGAUGGCUAAAUACGUGCCAGCAGCCGCGGUAAUACGUAUGUCCCGAGCGUUAUCCGGAUUUAUUGGGCGUAAAGCGAGCGCAGACGGUUUAUUAAGUCUGAUGUGAAAUCCCGAGGCCCAACCUCGGAACUGCAUUGGAAACUGAUUUACUUGAGUGCGAUAGAGGCAAGUGGAACUCCAUGUGUAGCGGUGAAAUGCGUAGAUAUGUGGAAGAACACCAGUGGCGAAAGCGGCUUGCUAGAUCGUAACUGACGUUGAGGCUCGAAAGUAUGGGUAGCAAACGGGAUUAGAUACCCCGGUAGUCCAUACCGUAAACGAUGGGUGCUAGUUGUUAAGAGGUUUCCGCCUCCUAGUGACGUAGCAAACGCAUUAAGCACCCCGCCUGAGGAGUACGGCCGCAAGGCUAAAACUUAAAGGAAUUGACGGGGACCCGCACAAGCGGUGGAGCAUGUGGUUUAAUUCGAAGAUACGCGAAAAACCUUACCAGGUCUUGACAUACCAAUGAUCGCUUUUGUAAUGAAAGCUUUUCUUCGGAACAUUGGAUACAGGUGGUGCAUGGUCGUCGUCAGCUCGU
rnacentral:rRNA from 1 species